ensembl:lncRNA
AGAGGCCCGGGGCAGUGAAGGUGGCCCUGGGGACAGGAAAGGGAGCCUGCAGUGCGUCCUUCUCUGACCGUGAGGACCGGUCCUGGCCUCCUCUGACGGGGCAGAACAUCCUUCCAACACUCCAGCCCCUUUGUGUGUGAAGCAGAGACCGAAAUAGCAGCACAGAUGAAAGCAAACCACAAAACAGCCCUGUCUUCAUGGCUUCCUUCCUGCUGCUUCUGAACCCGCCGCACUGCCGCGCACUGGUUGGAUAAAAAAGGUUUCCGCGGGGCUGGAUUUAAAUAGAAAGGAAGACUGUUGCACAGCUUUAAAACGAAAAGAGUAGAAGAUGAUAUAGAAAAGGCAGAGGGAACCUAAUUAUGUCUACAUAUACUGCCAGAAAGACUGCCCAGGAAACCUGUCCCCUCCUCGGUCCAGUCAGUUCCAGCAGCUGGAACCAGCCUCGCUCUCCUGCCCAGAUCUGAUGUGUCCCUUGGCCCGGUGACCGGGGCACACUUGGGUCCACAGACGACCUCCCUGGACUUGGCACCCUGCGCAUUUCCCCUCACUCCCUUUCUCGUUCCUUCCUCCCUCCCUCCCUCCUGCUCUUUCACCCCUUCUCGGAAACAAGUGAUUGUUUUCUGAUUAUAUCCUUGGGUGGAGCAAGUUAUUAACGUAUAAAAAGCACACAGAGUUACCCCUGAGACAUUGCUGGGGUGAAGUGGGCGUGAGGAAGCCGUCCUCAGAGACAGGAAGCUCCGCUCGGACACACGCAGCCCCGGGAGGAUGUCACCGCUGAGGCCCACAUGUCUUCACACUGCUGAGCAUGCGGUGGAUUCCAGUGCCCGAGGCGCCGGAGCCGAGCGUCUCGGACAGGCCGAACCCCAAGCCCCUCAGAGCCCCCGCCGGUCUGACAGGUUGCCUCGUCCCCCGAUCCUGCGUCUGCCCCGUGAAUGGCUCUGUGCGGCUCGUCUGCCUUCAGCAGCCCCGCAGGGAGCAGGGAGCACGUGGUCUGGCAGGAUGCUGAGCUGUGGGUGAGGGGCUGAGACUCGAGCCCCACCACGCUGCAGGCCCCCCGUGUCCACGUCUGCGGCACAGCUCACCUGCGCCCACUGUCCCUAAGGUCACCGCGGGUUCACAGUGCUCCAGUGCACGCCCAGGCCUCCGCUACCCAGCCCGGCCCAGCUGCCCACCGUCUUCACCUCAGCCUCUGCACCGUCCACAUCUUAAAAUAACCGGAGUUCACGUCUGCCACCUGCUGUCCCUUCCCACCCCGUGGCCCCCCUCCCCGUAGGGGAGGCAGAGACUGAGAGGGUGACGGGUGAGCCGAGGUCUGAGGCCUCAGUUACCCCAAGGAAGACACGAGGCUGGGCUGUGAGGAGUCCCUGAGUGCUCCUUUCUCCGGGCCUGGGUAAUCCCUCCAGAAAGCAGAGGAGACCUUCAGGUAAGCGAUGAGCUGGCCUGUCACACUGCUGGUAACUUAGGUUUCAGCUCAACUUUUGGACAUGUUUUAAUAAUAGAGCCAUUCUUAACACUAGUAACUGAAAUCUAACUCAUAUUUCAGGUGUCCAUCUACUGCACACACUUGGUAAUACAGGAAAGUAGGUCAAUGUUUACUUACCUAACCUUGGAGAAGGCUCCUGAGAGCUCCUUGAACUGCAAGGAGCUCAAACCAGUCCGUCCUAAAGGAAUUCAGUCCUGAGUAUUCAUUGGAAGGACCAAUGCUCAAGCUGAAGCUCCAAUACUUUGGCCACCUGAUGUGAAGAACUGACUGUUUGGAAAAGACCAUGAUGCUGGGAAAGAUUGAAGGCGGGAGGAGAAGGGGACGACAGAGGAUGAGAUGGUUGGAUGGCAUCACCCACUCGAUGGACAUGAGUUUGAGCAAGCUCCGGGAGUUGGUGAUGGACAGGGAGGCCUGAUGGGCAGCAGUCCACGGGGUUGCAGAGCUGGACGCAACUGAGCGACUGAACUGAACUGAAGCCAGUGUUCAGCUUAGAAAGCGCAGCUUGGAGGUGAAGUCGGCGAGCCCUCUCUUUCUCUGACCUGCUGACUUUGGCUUCUUUUUCAAAAGAGCCUCAGACCCUGCCCCGCCCCCCCCACUGGCUUUGUUGCAAGUGAAUUUUUUCUUAGGAAUUGCAUCCUAGAUGAUGCUCAUUUGUUUUGAACAUUAAUAACAUCCAAAUAUCUGUCUCAUCCCAACACCUGGAAUCCCCUCUAUUAUCUGACUGGUUUAACAGUUCCAGUCUUAUUUUUCUUCAAAGAUGCAAAUACACAACCAAGCUUCCAAUGUGAGAAAUGUGCCCAUAGGACGUAAGGAAAUAGGGGGAGAGGAAGGCAGCAGAGAAGGGAGGGAGGGAAGGAAGAGAGAGGGAGGGAAGAGGGAGGAGGGUGCACAGGACAGCUCGCUAAAACGUGACCAGUGGCCCUGCAUCCACUUUGAUGGGAGGCCCAUCAAGAUGGAUUUAAAAUAUGUAAAUUGGAUUCAGAAGUCAGAAUUCAGUGACAUUAAUGAGUUCGGCUGAAGCUGGAGGAGGUUCAGGAAGUCCGUGGAAGACUCAAGGCAAAGUAGAGAGCUAAAACCACCUUUUGAAGAGGUUUGAAGGAGAAAGCAAUGUGGACUCACUGUGCACCAGCUCCAGGGGGCCAGGCAGUGACCAGGUGGAAGGAGGGGCCCACAGGAGAACGCGCAGAUGAACCUAAGGGCUGAGGAAAGGGAUGCUGUGGGCCGGAGCGCAUGGUGAGAGGGGGAGCAGGGAGGGGGGUACAGCAGAAGAGGAGAGGGCCUGGGAUUGGCUGUGAAGGGGGUGCAGCCUAGGAGCGCCUGGGGUACUUCUCAACUGUCUGCGUUCAAUUCGAUAACUUUCAGUGGAGGCAUCGCACCUUAGCAGACCUCGCAGGGCGAGGUACAUGCUUUGCUUCCUGCGUGCGCGUUUAUACUGGAAGGGCUUAAUUUUACUCAGACUGUGAUGGAAGAAGCCUUCCAACAUGCUGGUUCCUUAGUCCCGGGGCUUGAGACCCUCUCACCACCUGUUGGCUGAGCCACUCUGCCUAAAUAAUACUUACAUUAAUUAAGAUUUAUUAACUGGAUAGCUUAGGAAAAUUAAAAGUAACACACUCUGGCACUUGAAAUUAAUGAGGCAUCGACUGAUUACCUAAAGAAUGAAAUACUAUAGUCAGAUUCAAAAGCCUUUGCUUAGGAUGACUUUCUUCAAAAAGUAUUGGGUUGGAUUUUAUAACUGGUAAAAUGAAAAAAGUUCAUAUGCAUUAAAAUCACCCACGUCAAAAGUACCCAAGGAAGGUCACUUUCCUCCUGGAAGUGGUUCCAUGUCACUGUUGGAUGUUAAAAUGAACGGGACUUAUUGUCCACAAGGCUACAGUUUCUGUCCUUCAGAACACUUAGAUAGGACCCAAUGGUGCUUCUGGAGUCCUAUGUUUAAGAUAAGCACUGUGAGAUAAUACAUAUGGCUAAUUCACAAAGCGGCACAGCAGAGACUAACACUGAAAAGCAAUUAUAUUCCAAUGAACACUUUUUCUGUCUAUAGAUAACCCACCACUUACUGAGGGGCCACUGAAUGGGCACAAACAAAGAAGGCUUCCUAAGGUCACCCUGUGUUAUCAUGAAAUCACACGUGCCUGCCGCCGUCUGUCCCAGGCCAGGAUUUGGACCCAGAUCUGUCUGACUCCAAAACCCUUGAUCUUCCCAGGGCGAUAUACUGUCUUCAGUUUCUAAGCCUUCUUACUCACCAAAUAUUGUGCACUGGACACUGGAGAAGCCUCUGUCGGUGACCUACAGCAUGUUGCCUGUCCUGCUGCUGGCACCUCAUGGAGCUGUCUGGACCCAUUUUCUCUGCUCACAAAGCUCCCAGACUGCUUGACUCUCCACUUCUGAUGUCAGCUUUGCACAGCUUUAUUUUCUGUCAGUGGACGCUGGUUUCCGGCAUCUGGUUGUUCAAAACCCUGUUCCAUCACUUACUACCUAUGCGACUUCAUUCUUCGAAGCCUCCCAUUUUUAUACAUGAAAGGGAGAUGGUACCAUCUCUAGGCCCUCAAUAGUGAUCAAAGGGAGGUGGUAAUAUCUCUAGGCCCUCAAUAGUGAUCAAAGGGAGGUGGUACCAUCUCUAGGCCCUCAAUAGUGAUCAAAGGGAGGUGGUAAUGUCUCUAGGCCCUCAAUAGUGAUCAAAGGGAGGUGGUAAUAUCUCUAGGCCCUCAAUAGUGAUCAAAGGGAGGUGGUACCAUCUCUAGGCCCUCAAUAGUGAUCAAAGGGAGGUGGUACCAUCUCUAGGCCCUCAGUAGUGAUCAAAGGGAGGUGGUAAUAUCUCUAGGCCCUCAAUAGUGAUCAAAGGGAGGUGGUAGUAUCUCUAGGCCCUCAAUAGUGAUCAAAGGGAGGUGGUACCAUCUCUAGGCCCUCAGUAGUGAUCAAAGGGAGGUGGUACCAUCUCUAGGCCCUCAAUAGUGAUCAAAGGGAGGUGGUAAUAUCUCUAGGCCCUCAAUAGUGAUCAAAGGGAGGUGGUACCAUCUCUAGGCCCUCAAUAGUGAUCAAAGGGAGGUGGUAAUGUCUCUAGGCCCUCAAUAGUGAUCAAAGGGAGGUGGUAAUAUCUCUAGGCCCUCAAUAGUGAUCAAGGGAGAAUAAACAUCGACUCACUUAACAGGUCUCUGGAGCAGAGAAGGCAGACAGAUUUCAAAAUAUUGUUAUUUCAAAUAUGUUGCUCCUUGGCACAAAAUGGAUUUCUAAACUGCACAUAAAACCUGUAAAUAUGAUUUUUAAACUUCGGAAUAAGGAGGCUGGAAAGCUCUCCUACGAGGAUA